rnacentral:rRNA from 1 species
UACCCUACGGGGGGCAGCAGUGGGGAAUUUUGGACAAUGGGCGCAAGCCUGAUCCAGCUAUUCCGCGUGUGGGAUGAAGGCCCUCGGGUUGUAAACCACUUUUGUAGAGAACGAAAAGACACCUUCGAAUAAAGGGUGUUGCUGACGGUACUCUAAGAAUAAGCACCGGCUAACUACGUGCCAGCAGCCGCGGUAAUACGUAGGGUGCGAGCGUUAAUCGGAAUUACUGGGUGUAAAGGGUGCGCAGGCGGUUGGGUAAGACAGAUGGGAAAUCCCCGUGCUUAACUGUGGAAU